rnacentral:rRNA from 1 species
GAUGAACGCUGGCGGCGUGCUUAACACAUGCAAGUCGAACGAAGCAUUUAGAACGGAUUACUUCGGUUUGAAGUUCUUUAUGACUGAGUGGCGGACGGGUGAGUAACGCGUGGGUAACCUGCCUUGUACUGGGGGAUAGCAGCUGGAAACGGCUGGUAAUACCGCAUAAGCGCACAAUGUUGCAUGACAUGGUGUGAAAAACUCCGGUGGUAUAAGAUGGACCCGCGUCUGAUUAGCUAGUUGGUGAGAUAACAGCCCACCAAGGCGACGAUCAGUAGCCGACCUGAGAGGGUGACCGGCCACAUUGGGACUGAGACACGGCCCAGACUCCUACGGGAGGCAGCAGUGGGGAAUAUUGCACAAUGGAGGAAACUCUGAUGCAGCGACGCCGCGUGAGUGAAGAAGUAAUUCGUUAUGUAAAGCUCUAUCAGCAGGGAAGAUAGUGACGGUACCUGACUAAGAAGCUCCGGCUAAAUACGUGCCAGCCGCCGCAGUAAAAC